UGUGGGGAAGUAGGAUAGAUUAGAAAGAGCAGAGAGCACCAUUGUAUAACAAUGUUGCAUAUUUCAGCAGAAAGGAAUUUGGAAUAUAAAAGAGGAGAGAGGAGGUGAAGAAUCUUACAAUCAACAGAAUGUAUUGAACCACCAUCAGGGUCAUCGUCUCUCACCUUUCUUUGCGUCUGAGACCAGAGGUCUUGGGCAGGUAGAAUGGAUGGCAGUGGGAGUUUACUCUCUCGCCUGCUGAUUCCCAGAAGGCAGUCCGAUCUGUGUCUUUUCUUCACGCAAAUGACGGGGAUUUGGGCCUGUUCCUGGGAGAGCAGUAUAUCCUUCUCAUCGGACUCGUUAAAGAAAAAAUCUUCUUCCAGUUCAUGGGAAGCAACAGAGGACAUGGAAAUCGUAUUAUAUCGCAGAGAAAUAGAAGUGCAGGAAACGGGCUGAGGGGUGCGUCACUUGAGUGGGUUGAGUCACUGACGUGGUCUUCCUGUCUGGGUUGGCGUCCCCCCCUUGGGUUGUGCCAUGGCGGAGAUCUUUGUGGGCUAUACUCUGCCUUGUCUCAGGAUGGUAAGUUGGUGGUUGAAGAUAUCCCUCUAGUGGUGUGGGGGCUGUGCUUUGGAAAAGUGGGUGGGGUUAUAUCCGGCCUGUUUGGCCCUGUCUGGAGGUAUCAUCGGAUGGGGCCAUCGGAUGGGGUCUCCUGACCCCUCCUGUCUCAGCCUCCAGUAUUUAUGCUGCAGUAGUUUGUGUCGGUGGGCUAGGGUUAGUCUGUUAUAUCUGGAGUAUUUCUCCUGUCUUAUCCAGUGUCCUGUGUGAAUUUAAGUAUGCUCGCUCUAAUUCUGUCUUUCUCUCUCUCUUUCUUUCUCUCUCUCGGAGGACCUGAGCCCUAGGACCAUGCCUUAGGGCUACCUGGCAUGAUGACUCCUUGCUGUCCCCAGUCCUGGCCUUGCUGUCCCCAGUCCUGGCCGUGCUGCUGCUCCAGUUUCAAAUGUUCUGCCUGCGGCUAUGGAACCCUGACCUGUUCACCGGACGUGCUACCUGUCCCAGACCUGCUGUUUUCAACUCUCUAGAGACAGCAGGAGCAGUAGAGAUACUCUCAAUGAUUGGCUAUGAAAAGCCAACUGACAUUUACUCCUGAUGUUCUGACUUGUUGCACCCUCGACAACUACUGUGAUUAUUAUUUGACCAUGCUAGUCAUUUAUGAACAUUUGAACAUCUUGGCCAUGUUCUGUUAUAAUCUCCACCCGGCACAGCCAGAAGAGGACUGGCCACCCCGAAUAGCCUGGUUGCUCUCUAGGUUUUAGUCUUUCUAGGGAGUUUUUCCUAGCCACCGUGUUUCUACAUCUGCAUUGCUUGCUGUUUGGGGUUUGAGGCUGGGUUUCUGUACAGCACUUUGAUAUAUCAGCUGAUGUAAAUAAAUUUGAUUUGAAAAAAUAAAUACAUUUGAUAAUAGACAAAAAAACUUUUUUUUGGCACUCCCCAACAGGGGUAUAGUUAAGGGCACUGAAGGUGGUCUAUCAAUUUAUUUUACUGUACAUUUUUGCUCAUCAUUAAUUUGUGAUAUAGAUUUGUGAUAUUGAUUUGUGAUUGAUUGACUUAUUUGUGAUGUUUUAUGCCUGUUUCUGAAAAUUUGAAUAAACGUGCUAUAUUGUUCUGAAA